GACGAACGCUGGCGGCGUGCUUAACACAUGCAAGUCGAACGGAAAGGCCCUGCUUUUGUGGGGUGCUCGAGUGGCGAACGGGUGAGUAACACGUGAGUAACCUGCCCUUGACUUUGGGAUAACUUCAGGAAACUGGGGCUAAUACCGGAUAGGAGCUCCUGCUGCAUGGUGGGGGUUGGAAAGUUUCGGCGGUUGGGGAUGGACUCGCGGCUUAUCAGCUUGUUGGUGGGGUAGUGGCUUACCAAGGCUUUGACGGGUAGCCGGCCUGAGAGGGUGACCGGCCACAUUGGGACUGAGAUACGGCGCAGACUCCUACGGGAGGCAGCAGUGGGGAAUAUUGCACAAUGGGCGGAAGCCUGAUGCAGCGACGCCGCGUGCGGGAUGACGGCCUUCGGGUUGUAAACCGCUUUCGCCUGUGACGAAGCGUGAGUGACGGUAAUGGGUAAAGAAGCACCGGCUAACUACGUG
rnacentral:rRNA from 1 species